CAGUAGCCGCGGGAACACGUAGGUGGCAAGCGUUGUCCGGAAUUAUUGGGCGUAAAGGGCUCGCAGGCGGUUUCUUAAGUCUGAUGUGAAAGCCCCCGGCUCAACCGGGGAGGGUCAUUGGAAACUGGGAAACUUGAGUGCAGAAGAGGAGAGUGGAAUUCCACGUGUAGCGGUGAAAUGCGUAGAGAUGUGGAGGAACACCAGUGGCGAAGGCGACUCUCUGGUCUGUAACUGACGCUGAGGAGCGAAAGCGUGGGGAGCGAACAGGAUUAGAUACCCCAGUAGUCCCUGUCUCUUAUAA
rnacentral:rRNA from 1 species